rnacentral:rRNA from 1 species
UACAGAGGGGGCAAGCGUUGUUCGGAAUUACUGGGCGUAAAGGGCGCGUAGGCGGCCUGUUAAGUCGAACGUGAAAUCCCCGGGCUCAACCCGGGAACUGCGUCCGAUACUGGCAGGCUUGAAUUCGGGAGAGGGAUGCGGAAUUCCAGGUGUAGCGGUGAAAUGCGUAGAUAUCGUCAAGAACACCGAUAGUGAAGACAGCUUACUAGGCUUAGAUUGACGCUGAGGCACGAAAGUGUGGGGAUCAAACAGG